rnacentral:lncRNA from 10 species
GUGGCCUCUUCAGGUUGUGUGUGUGGUGGCCUGGCAUUCAAUCUGUGAGGUGGAUGCGUGUUGGAAGGACCCCUUUUGGUUUCUUUUUGCUCAGAGCUUUCUUUUAAUAAAUUCCGCUCUCCUCACCUUUCAAUGUGUCCGUAUGCCUAAUUUUUCCUGGUCCUGUGACAAGAACCUGAUUUUAGCUGAACUAAGGAGCGAAAGAUCCUGGAUCAUUUUGGUGACCCAUACUGGUACAUGAGGAAAGCUCCUAUUCCAGAUUCUCAGAGUAUAGAUUCUGACUGGAUUACCCUGGUCCUUGAAGUAUACCUAGGAGAUGGAAUAACAUUGUAUAAGCAUCCACGUUGUCAUUAAGAGGAAAGAGUUUCCAUUAAAACAGCAGGUCACAAAACCCUCCUGUGAGAGGAACCCUCUGUGGAAGAACAGAAUAUGUCACCCCAAAAUAUGAAGAAUUGUUGAGCUGAAGAUGAUUAAGAAGAAGCGGAUGCAGGAAAGCUCUCUGCUCUCCCUCUAUUUGCUUAAAAGCAGGAUAAACACUUACAAAGACUAAAGACGCCACAAUCAAGAACUCAGAAGGGUAGAAGAAAAAGAUAGUUUCCCUUCCCUACACAGGGUCCAUGCAUUCAGUGGAGUAAUGAUUCCUGUCCAUGAAAAAAAAAAAAGAAAGUAGAAAAUUUCAGAGAAGAGAAAAAUUUUCCACUUGGGAGCAAGGGCAUGAGGGCAGCGGGGAAGUGGUAGAUAUACUGACAUGUUAAUAUAUUAGGUCUUGUAUUUCUUUUGUACAUAGUCUUUCUUCUUUGACUGCCUCGUUCAUGCAUCUCCACUACUUGAAAAAUUAUUUAAUUUACAAGCAUGUGCCAAAGUCCUACAUCAUGCUUCCUCUAAGAUUCUAUGCAAGCCAAUUCAAAGAUUUCUCUCUUAAAAAUAUUUGUAUGAAAAAAAGACAUGGCUAGGAAAUCACUGUUCAGUAGGAUAAAAUAAAAGUGC